GAAGCAUAUCAAUAAGCGGAGGAAAAGAAACUAACAAGGAUUCCCCUAGUAACUGCGAGUGAAGCGGGAAAAGCUCAAAUUUAAAAUCUGGCGGUCUUCUGGCCGUCCGAGUUGUAGUCUGGAGAAGCGUUUUCCGCGUUGGCCCGUGUACAAGUUUCCUGGAACGGAGCGUCAUAGAGGGUGAGAAUCCCGUCUUUGACACGGACCCCAAUGCUUUGUGAUGCGCUCUCAAAGAGUCGAGUUGUUUGGGAAUGCAGCUCAAAAUGGGUGGUGAAUUCCAUCUAAAGCUAAAUAUUGGCGAGAGACCGAUAGCGAACAAGUACCGUGAGGGAAAGAUGAAAAGCACUUUGGAAAGAGAGUUAAACAGUACGUGAAAUUGUUGAAAGGGAAACGCUUGAAGUCAGUCGCGUCGUCCGGGACUCAGCCUUGCAUCCGCUUGGUGUACUUUCCGGUCGACGGGCCAGCAUCAGUUUUGACCGCGAGAUAAAGGCGGAGGGAAUGUGGCUCUUUCGGGAGUGUUAUAGCCCUUUGUCAGAUGUCGCGGUUGGGACUGAGGAACUCAGCACGCCUUUAUGGCCGGGGUUCGCCCACGUACGUGCUUAGGAUGCUGGCGUAAUGGCUUUAAACGACCCGUCUUGAAACACGGACCAAGGAGUCUAACAUGCCUGCGAGUGUUCGGGUGGAAAACCCGUGCGCGCAAUGAAAGUGAAAGUUGGGAUCCCUGUCGUGGGGUGCACCGACGCCCGGCCCAGACCUUUUGUGACGGCGCUGCGGUAGAGCAUGUAUGUUGGGACCCGAAAGAUGGUGAACUAUGCCUGAAUAGGGUGAAGCCAGAGGAAACUCUGGUGGAGGCUCGUAGCGAUUUCUGACGUGCAAAUCGAUUCGUCAAAUUUGGGUAAUAAGGGCGAAAGAC
rnacentral:rRNA from 1 species